CCAUCGCUCGCACAGUGCAUCACGAACUUAACCCCGGUUCACUCCGAUCAUCAUCCACCCACCGAUGGCCCGACGCCGGAGCAGCGGCGGCAUCUCGUCCGCGCUGAGCCUGGGGCUCGCCGUGAUGGCCGUCACAUGGGCGACGUCCACGGCGCAGCAGCAGCAGCAGCAACCGCCGGCCGUGCCAAGCGUGAGCGUGCCGAGCUGCCCGCCGGUGCAGGCCUCGCUGUCGCCGUGCGUGAGCUACUUCAUCGGCAACUCCUCGUCGCCGUCCGACACGUGCUGCGUCCAGAUGCGGGCCAUGUUCCAGUCGCAGGCGCCCUGCCUCUGCGCCGCCGUGUCCGCCGUGCCGUCCCAGCUCGGGUCCGUGGUCGGCGGCCUGCUCCCCACCGCCUGCAACCUGCCCCCCAACGCCUGCUCCGGUACGUGCAUGCUGCCAGCGAGAUGCUCCUACAUGUAGAAAAACUGGAAAGUUCUGACCAUUUCUGUUGGUGUGUCAUCGUCGCCACCUGGACUCACUCCACCGCAGCUCCGACUUCAAAGCAACCAAGCAACCUACAGAAGAGCACCUCGGACACGCCUGAAAGAACCGACUAUCGAAGUCCAUGCCGCGACCCAAGCUCCUCUCGACGCCAUCAUCGUUGCCAAAAACAAAAACCAGCGCCCCAGCUCGGUGAUACGUCUCCAACGUAUCUAUAAUUUUUGAUUGUUCCAUGCUAUUAUAUUAUCUGUUUUGGAUGUUUAUGGGCUUUAUUAUACACUUUUAUAUUAUUUUUGGGACUAACCUAUUAACCGGAGGCCCAACCCAAAUUGUUGUUUUCUUGCCUAUUUCAGUGUUUCGAAGAAAAAGAAUAUCAAACGGAGUCCAAACAGAAUGAAACCUUCGGGAGAGUUAUUUUUGGAACGGAAGCAAUUCAGGAAACUUGGAGUAUACGUCACGGAAGCUUCGAGGUGGCCACGAGGCAGGGAGGCGCGCCUACCCCCUGGGCGCGCCCCCACCCUCGUGGGCCUCUCGUGGCUCCCCUAACCGAGUUCUUUCGCCUAUAUAUGUCCAUAUACCCUAAAAACAUCGAAGAGCACAAUAGAUCAGGAGUUCCACCGCCAGAAGCCUCCAUAGCCACCGAAAACCAAUCUAGACCCGUUCCGGCACCCUGCCGGAGGGGAGAAUCCCUCUCUGGUGGCCAUCUUCAUCAUCCCGACGCUCUCCUUGACGAGGAGGGAGUAGUUCACCCUCGGGGCUGAGGGUAUGUACCAAUAGCUAUGUGUUUGAUCUCUCUCUCUCUCUCGUGUUAUUGAGAUGGUACGAUCUUGAUGUAUCGCGAGCUUUGCUAUUAUAGUUGGACCUUAUGAUGUUUCUCCCCCUCUACUCUCUUGUAAUGGAUUGAGUUUUCCCUUUGAAGUUAUCUUAUCGGAUUGAGUCUUUAAGGAUUUGAGAACACUUGACGCAUGUCUUGCAUGUGCUUAUCUGUGGUGACAAUGGGAUAUCACGUGAUCCACUUGAUGUAUGUUUUGGUGAUCAACUUGCGAGUUCCGUGAACUUAUGCAUAGGGGUUGGCACACGUUUUCGUCUUGACUCUCUGGUAGAAACUUUGGGGCACUCUUUGAAGUUCUUUGUGUUGGUUGAAUAGAUGAAUCUGAGUUUGUGUGAUGCAUAUCGUAUAAUCAUACUCACGGAUACUUGAGGUGACAUUGGAGUAUCUAGGUGACAUUAGGGUUUUGGUUGAUUUAUGUCUUAAGGUGUUAUUCUAGUACGAACUCUAUGAUAGAUUGAACGGAAAGAAUAGCUUUAUGUUAUUUUACUACGGACUCUUGAAUAGAUCGAUCAGAAAUGAUAACUUUGAGAUGGUUUCAUACCCUACAAUAAUCUCUUCGUUUGUUCUUCGCUAUUAGUGAUUUUGGAGUGACUCUUUGUUGCAUGUUGAGGGAUAGUUAUAUGAUCAAAUUAUGUUAUUAUUGUUAAGAUGACUUGCACUAGUGAAAGUAUGAACCCUAGGCCUUAUUUCCACGCAUUGCAAUACCGUUUGUGCUCACUUUUAUCAUUAGUCACCUUGUCGUUUUUAUAUUUUCAGAUUACAAAAACCUAUAUCUACCAUCUAUAUUGCACUUGUAUCAUCAUCUCUUCGUUGAACUAGUACACCUAUACAAUUUACCAUUGUAUUGGGUGUGUUGGGGACACAAGAGACUCUUUGUUAUUUGGUUACAUGGUUGCUUGAGAGAGACCAUCUUCAUCCUACGCCUCCCACGGAUUGAUAAAUCUUAGGUCAUCCACUUGAGGGAAAUUUGCUACUGUCUUACAAACCUCUGCACUUGGAGCCCAACAACAUCUACAAAAAGAAGGUUGUGUAGUAGACAUCACUCAGCAAACCAUGCGGUCAAGAUGCCGCCAUCCAGCGGUCUCCUGGCCGUAGCCGGCUCCGAGACGAUGCUCCCAAGGAGGAAAAAGACACGAAAACGUCUCCAUCACCCGAUCCAACAGAUCUGAGGUUUCCCUCCGGAGCCAAUGCCGUGGGGAGGAGGAGCACACCUCCACGACAACGCUUCCAAGAAAGGUCGCGGCACCCACGGGUGCCGCCGUCGCCUGCUCCGAUGAAGAGCGAACGAGGAUUUCUCCUGGACAUGUGUCGACCACCUGCCCCCACCGACCGCCGCCAACCAACCACCAUACCAGUUGAGGCCAACCUUACUCUGGACGCGAGAUCCCACGAUCCACUGCGCCUAGGAACGCACCACCCCUUGGGCGUAGCAACCGCCCACCACAGCAACCAACGCGCCGCAAGCAGCAGCCCCCGAAUCAGAGAACCACCAAUGGCCAAACCCAAAAUGGAGUCACUCCAACGAAGCAGCAGAGCAGAUGAGCAUGCCCUUCACCGCAGCACACCUCGAGCUCCGGUGACGCAUGCCCGCCGCGCCCCACCAGUCACCGCGCCCGUCGCGCGCAAGCUGCCGCCGCGCUAGUCCAUCGAUAUGUCCACCACACGCACAUCCAAGGCCGAGAGCCGCCUCGCGCAUGGGCUCCGGUGGAAGAUUCAGAUUGAAAAGGUGCACAUUUUCCAAUUGAAGCUCCAAGAAUAGAAUUCGACCAUGAGUCCAGGACCGAGGCAUACAUGCUGACGUGCCAAAAAAAAAAGAGCCAUGCAUGUCCAAGAUUUUUGGACGAGAAAAACCAACACACUUUUUUCUUCCCAAUCUUGUAGCACGACCUUGAGUCACACAGCAAUGAACGGAGAGGUCCAAAUUAUUUUGUGACAAUGUAAUCCCUACUUCUUUAUAUUUUCUAUUCUGCAUCCAGUUGUCUGCCUCUUGUGAUAUUAAUUAAUUAGAUUUGAAAUGCACUUUGGGUGUUUUUACUUUUAUAAAAAAAAUCGUUGUUAUUAUGAUUUCCUUUCAAAAAAGGGGAGAAAAACCCCCCGGACUCUGCAUCGGUCCAGCUAACUAGUGUCGAGUUCAUCCGAGUUUUCUCACCAACACGGUAACAUCUCUGGAAAAGCAGUGGCGGUGCACCCUGCAAAGUGCAAGCUACUCCACUUUUGGACGUUAGAUAGGGCAGUCGAUCUGCCCGUCGCUACCGAGCCACCGGUCGCUCGUCCAACAAAGCAUCCGAGCACCUAUAAAUUGAACCACGAGCCCACGACACAACGGCACGACCACCCAUCGCUCGCACAGUGCAUCACGAACUUAACCCCGGUUCACUCCGAUCAUCAUCCACCCACCGAUGGCCCGACGCCGGAGCAGCGGCGGCAUCUCGUCCGCGCUGAGCCUGGGGCUCGCCGUGAUGGCCGUCACAUGGGCGACGUCCACGGCGCAGCAGCAGCAGCAGCAACCGCCGGCCGUGCCAAGCGUGAGCGUGCCGAGCUGCCCGCCAGUGCAGGCCUCGUUGUCGCCGUGCGUGAGCUACUUCAUCGGCAACUCCUCGUCGCCGUCCGACACGUGCUGCGUCCAGAUGCGGGCCCUGUUCCAGUCGCAGGCGCCCUGCCUCUGCGCCGCCGUGUCCGCCAUGCCGUCCCAGCUUGGGUCCGUGGUCGGCGGCCUGCUCCCCACCGCCUGCAACCUGCCCCCCAACGCCUGCUCCG
rnacentral:lncRNA from 1 species